rnacentral:rRNA from 1 species
GACGAACGCUGGCGGCGUGCUUAACACAUGCAAGUCGAACGGAAAGGCCCUGCUUUUGUGGGGUGCUCGAGUGGCGAACGGGUGAGUAACACGUGAGUAACCUGCCCUUGACUUUGGGAUAACUUCAGGAAACUGGGGCUAAUACCGGAUAGGAGCUCCUGCUGCAUGGUGGGGGUUGGAAAGUUUCGGCGGUUGGGGAUGGACUCGCGGCUUAUCAGCUUGUUGGUGGGGUAGUGGCUUACCAAGGCUUUGACGGGUAGCCGGCCUGUGAGGGUGACCGGCCACAUUGGGACUGAGGUACGGCCCAGACUCCUACGGGAGGCAGCAGUGGGGAAUAUUGCACAAUGGGCGGAAGCCUGAGGCAGCAACGCCGCGUGCGGGAUGACGGCCUGCGGGUUGUAAACCGCUUUCGCCUGUGACGAAGCGUGAGUGACGGUAAUGGGUAAAGAAGCACCGGCUAACUACGUG